rnacentral:rRNA from 1 species
GAUGAACGCUAGCUACAGGCUUAACACAUGCCAGUCGAGGGACCGGCGCACGGGUGAGUAACACGUAUCCAACCUGCCCUUUACUCGGGGAUAGCCUUUCGAAAGAACGAUUAAUACCCGAUGUAAAGGAUGGGGAUGCGUUCCAUUAGGUUGUUGGUGAGGUAACGGCUCACCAAGCCUUCGAUGGAUAGGGGUUCUGAGAGGAAGGGCCCCCAAUUUGGAACUGAGAAACGGUCCAAACUCGUACGGAGGGCAGAAGUGGGGAAUCUUGGUUAAUGGGCGUUGGCCUGAACCGGCCAAGUAGCGUGAAGGAUGAAGUCUUAUGGGUCGUAAACUUUUUUAUAUAAGAAUAUGUAUUAUAUGAAUAAGGAUCGGCUAACUCCGUGCCAGCCGCCGCGGUAAUA